GCCAUUUUGCUCUAGCGGUGUAACACUGUAGUUUUAGUCGAAGAACUUCUUGGUGAUACUGAAGGAGCCUUUUUUCUGUGAGAAAGGAUGGUUCUUAAAGCACUGACACGUAAAAGCGUAACAAUUAGUGUUAUCCUGUUCGGAGGAGUUUUUGGUGGAGCUCUUGGCCUUUAUAUUCGAGAUAAUUGGGAUAUUGAAGCCAGGGAGGCCCGUGUUGCUGAGCUUGAACAACUAGUGAAAGAAAAAGAAGCCAUUGUGAAGAGACUGAAAGAGAGUAUAGGUGAAAGGAAAUAACCAGGAGCAAGUCAAGGAAUGAAACUGUCUAAUAUUGAAACAGUGCAGAAAAUGAAGUGCAUUGAUGCAAAUUUACACUCUGUUUGUUCUUGACUUAGGGUCAAGUUGUAAAGAAAUGCUUUGGAAUAUGAAGUUUGUAUCACUUAAAGUAAAUGAGGCUGGCAACUUUAAAUCUA